CCUCUCAUUGGCCAAUAGCAAGCCACAGAUGGUAAAGCUCGUAGCUCAUUGGCCGAAGGAGUGCCAUAGAGAGAGAGAGAGAGAGAGAGAGAGAGUAGCGGUGAGGGGAAAAAAAAAAAACGUAGACUGCUUGCAAGAAAUCAUAAUGCACAAACAAGAAACUGGAUCGCGAAGACUACUAGAAAUUAACAGAGGCGGUCCCUGCAUGCAUGGUUAUAGUUUUGUACCCUGGGCAAACAAUCCAUUGGCGUUCCCCCCGCCCCUCUUUCCCUUCUCCCCGGGGAAGGGGAUGAGAUAUUAUAAUAUUACGAUAGUAUAAUAAUGCAGAGGUGUCAGGCUAUCCCUGCUGAGUCAGCUGAAUCAGUCAACCUCGAGUACAUUUAAAAAGGGAAUUAAUGCAGUGACUUUUUUGGUGAUGAACUAUUCGACUAUAGUAAGUCCAUGACUGUCAUCAUAUUCUCCUUGUCUUUGUAUAGCUAUGGGCUUAUAGCACACGAUCCAGUUGUGUCUUCAUCCCUUGUUUGCUUUGGUUAUUCUACUUUGUUGGACUGGUGUGCUAACCACUGUGUGCAUAUGGUUCCCUCCCAGGGCUGCCACUCAAAAUUUUCAUUUCCCCCUACUUUCACCUACCACUCGUGCACAUUUUCCCCUACUUUCACCUACGCCAAUCCCAAAAUUCCUUUUUGUACAUGCAUAUAUUAUUGUGUGAAAAUAAAAGUAUUUAUACUU